rnacentral:rRNA from 1 species
AGGAUGAACGCUAGCGGCAGGCCUAACACAUGCAAGUCGAGGGGUAACAGGGAGCUUGCUCCGCUGACGACCGGCGCACGGGUGCGUAACGCGUAUACAAUCUACCUUUUGCUACGGGAUAGCCCAGAGAAAUUUGGAUUAAUACCGCAUAGUAUAUUGAGAUCGCAUGGUUUUAAUAUUAAAGGUUACGGCAGAAGAUGAGUAUGCGUUCUAUUAGCUAGAUGGUGUGGUAACGGCACACCAUGGCAACGAUAGAUAGGGGCCCUGAGAGGGGGAUCCCCCACACUGGUACUGAGACACGGACCAGACUCCUACGGGAGGCAGCAGUGAGGAAUAUUGGACAAUGGGCGAGAGCCUGAUCCAGCCAUGCCGCGUGCAGGAAGACGGCCCUAUGGGUUGUAAACUGCUUUUAUACAGGAAGAAACACCUCUACGUGUAGAGGCUUGACGGUACUGUAAGAAUAAGGAUCGGCUAACUCCGUGCCAGCAGCCGCGGUAAUACGGAGGAUCCAAGCGUUAUCCGGAAUCAUUGGGUUUAAAGGGUCCGUAGGUGGAUAAUUAAGUCAGGGGUGAAAGUCUGCAGCUCAACUGUAGAAUUGCCCUUGAUACUGGUUGUCUUGAGUCAUUAUGAAGUAGUUAGAAUAUGUAGUGUAGCGGUGAAAUGCAUAGAUAUUACAUAGAAUACCAAUUGCGAAGGCAGAUUACUAAUAAUGUACUGACACUGAUGGACGAAAGCGUGGGGAGCGAACAGGAUUAGAUACCCUGGUAGUCCACGCCGUAAACGAUGGAUACUAGCUGUUCGGAUUUAUC